ensembl:lncRNA LINC02217 long intergenic non-protein coding RNA 2217
ACAGUCUUUCAGGAUGUCUGAAAGGGGCAAGUCUGUUUGUGUGGGGUAAGAAAUGCGGGGAGACAAACGGACAGUGGACAGAUUGCAGAGAGCUCUGUGUGCUGAGAGGAGGGUGCAGACCAGAUUUUUAAAUUGAGAAUGCAACAGUGAAGGAUUUCAAGCUUGGAGUGAGAGGGGAGACUACGAGCCUGCAGUGAUAAGGCAAAGCUGAAGAUUUCAGAGCCAAGGCCACACCCUACAGUUGCCAUGGAAUGGGGUGGCACAGUGGGCUUUGGAGGUAAAGUCUGCAGUUGAGAAGUUCAAGGGUAGUAAGUACUUAAUGCCAGGUCAAUCAUCCCUUUUAAGACACAGAUAUCAUCUGCAGCGUUUUCAGGAACAGCGAUAGAGAAGAAAAGCGGGCAGCUACUAGAUAUUCAAAUCUUCCACAAAUGUCAGGGAGAGAGUCAGGCAGUUGGUAGAAGAGACCUGUAAAGCUGGGUACCAUAAGCCUCAACACAGGUGUUUUUAUUUCAAGGCUGGGGAGCUGUGCUUUGGAAAAGCAAUGAGGAGGUAACAGGAAGUCUCUUCUCCUUCUAAAUCCUGUGUUCAUGGAGGAGGGUGGGUUUUCUCCUCUUGAGAGGGAGUUACAUACAAGUUUAAGGGAAAAGAGUCUGAAGUUUCCACCUAAAUGAUUCUGAAAGAAUCAGGUUAAGAAGCAAAUCUGUUCCGAUGUGAUGCCAACUAAGUACAUGAUCUGAUUGUUCCAGUUAUCCUGUGCCAAAAAGAAGCAAAAAAUGGGCUUUCCACGGAUUAUUGAACACGGUAUAUACAGGGAGUCCACGGAGCCUCCCCUGCAAGCAUCAGUACAGAAGUCGAUGAUAAUCUGGAUGCAAGCCCAGGAGUGUGGAGUCCACUGACUCAGAAGACCUGCAUCUAAGGAAUUGGCUGUUCUUAUCCUUAAGAAUGAUGACUGUGUUUCCAAUUCCAGUAGACCCUUUGAUGCGUUCUGAAUAAAUAUUCCUUUUGGAAU